GGAAGUGUCGCCUAGCGGCUAUGGCAACGGUUUCGAAAACCGUCGGGGCAACCCAUCGCAGGUUCGAGUCCUGUCACUUCCG
rnacentral:tRNA from 1 species